rnacentral:rRNA from 1 species
UACGAAGGGGGCUAGCGUUGUUCGGAAUUACUGGGCGUAAAGGGCGCGUAGGCGGUACUUCAAGUCAGGCGUGAAAGCCCCGGGCUCAACCUGGGAACCGCGCUUGAGACUGGAGAACUAGAGUUCGGGAGAGGAUGGUGGAAUUCCCAGUGUAGAGGUGAAAUUCGUAGAUAUUGGGAAGAACACCGAUGGCGAAGGCAGCCCUCUGGACCGACACUGACGCUGAGGCGCGAAAGCUAGGGGAGCGAACGGG